rnacentral:rRNA from 1 species
UUGACGGAGAGUUUGAUCCUGGCUCAGGACGAACGCUGGCGGCGGGCCUAAUACAUGCAAGUCGAACGCAGUCGACCUUCGGGUCAUAUGACUGAGUGGCGAACGGGUGAGUAACACGUGAGAAACCUGCCCCGAAGACUGGAAUAACCCGAGGAAACUCGGGCUAAUACCGGAUGUCCCCAGAUGGCCGCAUGGCCGACUGAGGAAAUGCUCCGGCGCUUUGGGAGGGUCUCGCGGCCUAUCAGCUUGUUGGUGAGGUAACGGCUCACCAAGGCUUCGACGGGUAGCUGGUCUGAGAGGACGAUCAGCCACACUGGGACUGAGAUACGGCCCAGACUCCUACGGGAGGCAGCAGUAGGGAAUCUUGCGCAAUGGGCGAAAGCCUGACGCAGCCACGCCGCGUGAGUGAUGAAGGCCUUCGGGUCGUAAAGCUCUUUCAGCAGGGACGAAAAUGACGGUACCUGCAGAAGAAGCCCCGGCCAACUACGUGCCAGCAGCCGCGGUAACACGUAGGGGGCAAGCGUUGUCCGGAUUUAUUGGGCGUAAAGGGCUCGUAGGCUGUUCAGUAAGUCAGGUGUGAAAACUCGAGGCUCAACCUCGAGACGCCACUUGAUACUGCUGUGACUAGAGUUCGGUAGAGGAGUGUGGAAUUCCUAGUGUAGCGGUGAAAUGCGCAGAUAUUAGGAGGAACACCAACAGCGAAGGCAGCACUCUGGGCCGAUACUGACGCUGAGGAGCGAAAGCGUGGGGAGCGAACAGGAUUAGAUACCCUGGUAGUCCACGCCGUAAACGGUGGGCACUAGAUGUGGGAUCCAGUCAACGGAUUCCGCGUCGUAGCUAACGCAUUAAGUGCCCCGCCUGGGGAGUACGGCCGCAAGGCUAAAACUCAAAGGAAUUGACGGGGGCCCGCACAAGCGGCGGAGCAUGUUGCUUAAUUCGAGGCAACGCGAAGAACCUUACCUGGGUUUGACAUGUAGGGAAAAGCCAUAGAGAUAUGGUGUCCUUAGGGGCCCUACACAGGUGGUGCAUGGCUGUCGUCAG